AUUGAACGCUGGCGGCAUGCCUUACACAUGCAAGUCGAACGGCAGCGGGGACUUCGGUCCGCCGGCGAGUGGCGAACGGGUGAGUAAUGUAUCGGAACGUACCAUUGAGUGGGGGAUAACUAUCCGAAAGGAUAGCUAAUACCGCAUAUUCUCUCCGGAGGAAAGAAGGGGACCGCAAGGCCUUGCGCUCAUUGAGCGGCCGAUAUCAGAUUAGCUAGUUGGUGGGGUAAAAGCUCACCAAGGCGACGAUCUGUAGCGGGUCUGAGAGGAUGAUCCGCCACACUGGAACUGAGACACGGUCCAGACUCCUACGGGAGGCAGCAGUGGGGAAUUUUGGACAAUGGGGGCAACCCUGAUCCAGCCAUGCCGCGUGAGUGAAGAAGGCCUUCGGGUUGUAAAGCUCUUUCAGCCGGGAAGAAAACGCAUGGGUUAAUACCCUGUGUGGAUGACGGUACCGGAAUAAGAAGCACCGGCUAACUACGUGCCAGCAGCCGCGGUAAGAC
rnacentral:rRNA from 1 species